rnacentral:rRNA from 1 species
AUGAAAAUCAGUGGUUGGAAGGAAAAGCUGCUAUCAGCAGGAGGAAAGGAAAUCCUUCUCAAAUCGGUUGUACAAGCUAUCCCAACUUAUGCAAUGUCCAUCUUUAAAAUUCCUAAAAAAAAUUGCAAAGAAAUCAUUGAUGCAAUAUCACAUUUUUGGUGGGGUAACCAAGACAAUCAUAAGAGAAUGCAUUGGAUGGCAUGGUGGAAGAUGUGUGUACCAAAAGACCAAGGAGGAAUGGGUUUUCAAGACAUAUAUUGUUUCAAUUUGGCCUUGUUAGCCAAACAAGCGUGGCGACUGCUUGAUAAUCCUGAUUCUUUAUGUGCCGCCGCACUACUAGGAAAACGGCUGGUAUAUGGGAAUAUAUAG